AGGGAAUCUUCCACAAUGGACGCAAGUCUGAUGGAGCAACGCCGCGUGAGUGAAGAAGGUUUUCGGACCGUAAAGCUCUGUUGUUGGUGAAGAAGGAUAGAGGUAGUAACUGGCCUUUAUUUGACGGUAAUCAACCAGAAAGUCACGGCUAACUACGUGCCAGCAGCCGCGGUAAUACGUAGGUGGCAAGCGUUGUCCGGAUUUAUUGGGCGUAAAGCGAGCGCAGGCGGAAGAAUAAGUCUGAUGUGAAAGCCCUCGGCUUAACCGAGGAAUUGCAUCGGAAACUGUUUUCUUGAGUGCAGAAGAGGAGAGUAGAACUCCAUGUGUAGCGGUGGAAUGCGUAGAUAUAUGGAAGAAUACCAGUGGCGAAGGCGGCUCUCUGGUCUGCAACUGACGCUGAGGCUCGAAAGCAUGGGUAGC
rnacentral:rRNA from 1 species